rnacentral:rRNA from 1 species
CCCCCUAACCAUGGUCGGCUUGGAGGUUGUGCCCUUGAGGCGUGGCUUCCGGAGCUAACGCGUUAAGUCGACCGCCUGGGGAGUACGGCCGCAAGGUUAAAACUCAAAUGAAUUGACGGGGGCCCGCACAAGCGGUGGAGCAUGUGGUUUAAUUCGAUGCAACGCGAAGAACCUUACCUGGUCUUGACAUCCACGGAACUUUUCAGAGAUGAAUUGGUGCCUUCGGGAACUGUGAGACAGGUGCUGCAUGGCUGUCGUCAGCUCGUGUUGUGAAAUGUUGGGUUAAGUCCCGCAACGAGCGCAACCCUUAUCCUUUGUUGCCAGCGGUCCGGCCGGGAACUCAAAGGAAACUGCCAGUGAUAAACUGGAGGAAGGUGGGGAUGACGUCAAGUCAUCAUGGCCCUUACGACCAGGGCUACACACGUGCUACAAUGGCGCAUACAAAGAGAAGCGACCUCGCGAGAGCAAGCGGACCUCAUAAAGUGCGUCGUAGUCCGGAUUGGAGUCUGCAACUCGACUCCAUGAAGUCGGAAUCGCUAGUAAUCGUGGAUCAGAAUGCCACGGUGAAUACGUUCCCGGGCCUUGUACACACCGCCCGUCACACCAUGGGAGUGGGUUGCAAAAGAAGUAGGUAGCUUAACCUUCGGGAGGGCGCUUACCACUUUGUGAUUCAUGACUGGGGUGAAGUCGUACAAGGGUAAACCAAACAAA